rnacentral:rRNA from 1 species
UGCCUAAUACAUGCAAGUCGAGCGAACAGACGAGGAGCUUGCUCCUUUGACGUUAGCGGCGGACGGGUGAGUAACACGUAGGUAACCUACCUAUAAGACUGGGAUAACUUCGGGAAACCGGAGCUAAUACCGGAUAAUAUUUCGAACCGCAUGGUUCGAUAGUGAAAGAUGGCUUUGCUAUCACUUAUAGAUGGACCUGCGCCGUAUUAGCUAGUUGGUAAGGUAACGGCUUACCAAGGCAACGAUACGUAGCCGACCUGAGAGGGUGAUCGGCCACACUGGAACUGAGACACGGUCCAGACUCCUACGGGAGGCAGCAGUAGGGAAUCUUCCGCAAUGGGCGAAAGCCUGACGGAGCAACGCCGCGUGAGUGAUGAAGGUCUUCGGAUCGUAAAACUCUGUUAUUAGGGAAGAACAAACGUGUAAGUAACUGUGCACGUCUUGACGGUACCUAGUCAGAAAGCCACGGCUAACUACGUGCCAGCAGCCGCGGUAAUACGUAGGUGGCAAGCGUUAUCCGGAAUUAUUGGGCGUAAAGCGCGCGUAGGCGGUUUUUUAAGUCUGAUGUGAAAGCCCACGGCUCAACCGUGGAGGGUCAUUGGAAACUGGAAAACUUGAGUGCAGAAGAGGAAAGUGGAAUUCCAUGUGUAGCGGUGAAAUGCGCAGAGAUAUGGAGGAACACCA